ensembl:lncRNA
UGUGUGUGUGUGUGUGUGUGUGUGUGUGUGUGUGUGUGUGUGUGUGUGUGUGUGUGUGUGUGCCUGAGUGCUCAGGGGCAGGAGUGUUUUUGCCAACCCACUGAUAUCCAUCUUUAAUCAAGAGAGCUAGGAGACAAAUUUACAUGAAACCCUAUCAGAGAUAUGUACAUGCUACACAUGCCCUGGAAGAGAGGUGGUGCCUGAGGAGAGGUGGUGCCUGAGGAGAGGUGGUGCCUGAGGAGAGUUGGUGCCUGAGCAUAGGUGGUGCCUGAUGAGAGGUGGUACCUGAUGAGAGGUGGUGCCUGAGGAGAGGUGGUGCCUUAAGAGAGAGGUGGUGCCUGAGGAGAGUUGGUGCCUGAGCAUAGGUGGUGCCUGAUGAGAGGUGGUACCUGAUGAGAGGUGGUGCCUGAGGAGAGGUGGUGCCUUAAGAGAGGUGGUGCCUGAGGAGAGUUGGUGCCUGAGCAUAGGUGGUGCCUGAUGAGAGGUGGUACCUGAUGAGAGGUGGUGCCUGAGGAGAGUUGGUGCCUGAGCAUAGGUGGUUCCAGAGCAGAGGUGGUGCACGAGGAGAGGUGGUGCCUGGGGGGAGAUGGUGCCCGAGGAGAGGUGGUACCUGAGUGAAGGUGGUGCCUGAGGAGAGGUGGUGCCCGAGGAGAGGUGGUGUCUGGGAGGAGAUGGUGCCUGAGGAGAGGUGGUGCCUGAUGAGAGAUGGUGCCUGAGGAGAGGUGGUGCCUGAGGAGAGGUGGUGCCCGAGGAGAGGUGGUGUCUGGGAGGAGAUGGUGCCUGAGGAGAGGUGGUGCCUGAUGAGAGAUGGUGCCUGAGGAGAGGUGGUGCCUGAGGAGAGGUGGUGCCUGAGGAGAGGUGGUGCCUGAGGAGAGGUGGUGCCUGAGGAGAGGUGGUGCCUGAGGAGAGGUGGUGGUGCCU